GCUCUCCAGGAGUGCCUGAUGAAUUCCCAAGAAACUAGUAGCUACGGAGCCUUUCGAAAGAGAGAGAUGUUGCAGUGGCACCAUCAAAGAUCUCUCUCCAAAUGAAGUCGUGCCAAAGAGAAAUCUGAGUCAUGGUUUUCAAUAGCUGGAACUGGAGAAGAAACCCCUAGACAACUUUGUAUCCGGAAAUCUGAAAACCGAAAAGGAGAGAACGCUCCGGCGGCAAAGGACCACAGUGUCAAUUUACUAGCACACAUAUGGAGAAAAAGAAAUGCCAAACGAAAAUUCAUGAGCAGCACAAAGCUAGCUCGUCAGUAACUUGCCUGCAUCUCUGUAAUAAACUCUCUUCCUUCUACCUUGUGAAUAUCGUGCCAAAGCCGCUGCUAGUCAUCUGUCUCCCCACAGUGCCUCACUGGGUACAUUGCAAGCAAGCAUUGAACACUUUUGCUAAAUGAAUGAAUGGACGUUGAAUAAUGAACUAAGUUGUCGCUUGACUUUGAGGGUUCUGUUUCCUCACAUAUAAAAUAAAGGACUAUUUCCAAAAUUCCUUAUGUUUCAAAAAUACUAGGGUUCCAUAAAAUAAAAAGACAUUAACACAUAUUAAUACCUGCUGAGUAAAAGCAAUAAGGGAAAACCUACACUUUAACGCUCAUCAGGAAAUAAAAUAACGAGCUCUUCCACAUGGAAAAGAGAAGGAAAGUAACAAAGGAGAAGACUGGGUGAUGAUACCAUUAUAGUUGGAUCUGCUUUGUUUCAUAAAAGACCAACGUCACCCUGCAUCCCUCUCGCUAUCAAAAAUAAAGCCACUGUACCCCCAGAGAACUUUUUAUUCUUGUCAGCGUGAGACCCCUCAUGGUGCUGUUUCAGUGGGUUACAGAAAAGUAGUUCUUGGAUCAAAGGAAUGCCUUUCAGUCCCAGAGUGAGUGCAGAUUUGGCCUGAGAACUCAAUCAGAUUCUAAAUUUUCUGUGUUCACACAGGAAGUACCGAAAUACUCCAUGAAAUGUGGGGAACGAGUCCAUGACUCCAAGCCCAGGUCUCAGGAUGCCCAUUCUGGUCUCUACCACCAUAACUAAGGCUUACCCUACAAUAGGCUUCCUGAAAUUGGUCUACUGUAGGGAAGAUACAUCACUGAAGGCCAACAAGCCAUCCAGAGAAAAGGGACACAGCUAACUUUAGGUAAGAUAAAUGUGUAACUUCAUCCCAAGCUGUAGAGACAGGAUUCCCCACGAACCUCCAUCCAACCACAAGCAUCCACAGCAUACCGACUCCUUGGUACUCACUGGUACCCUGCUACCUGAUGAGCAACGAUAACUCCAGGGCAUUCCCUAGCAGUCCAAUGAUUAGGACUCCAGGUUUCCACCGCAGGGGGCACCGGUUUGAUCCCUCGUUGGGGAACUAAGAUGCCGCAAGCCGCAUGGCGUGGCCAAAAAAGAAGAAGCAAAAGAAAAGAAAAUGAUAACUGUGGCCUGACAGCCAAGGCAAGGGCAGCAUUUGCCGGUUGUAUUAGAGCCUCAUCAACAAGCUGUCAGGGUGUGUUGUCAACCUCAUCAACAAGACCCCAGGAAGAGAUGAUGGAGAAUCUGUCAAGUGAUCCCAUCAGAACGCUGCCCUCCAACACGAGGACUGGGAGAACACUGAGGCUUGACCAAACCCUACAGAUGCGGCAGAUCGAACAGGCAUGCAGUCCUGUCGACAGUCUCAGACUACCCUUCAUUAAAGCAUGUGGUAUUUUAAAAAAUCUCCGUAUUCUUCAGUCCUUUAAGUUGACUGUUUCUCAUAGUCAGUUGCCUUAGUAAAAUGUUAACAACAGGGCUUCCCUGGUGGCACAGUGGUUGAGAG